CACAAUCAGAAGGCAGAAGAGAGGGAAGGUAGCAGAAAGGAAGGUAAAAGGAGAGUCCAGAGGGGUAAGUCAUCCUGCAAUAAAGAUGGAAGGGAAGAGAGGAGAAAGAAGCAUGAGUGUGGGAAGAUUUCUGUUACCACUCACCAAGUGCACAUGGGGGGUGGAUGUGAACCACAGGCCCUGGGCCAUUCACACCAGGAAAUGAAGCACACACUCAGACAUGGAUGUGAUGACCACCCAGGGGAGAAGUCACCCAGGAUACACACAGCUCACCUCACCCAGCCUCACAACUUCUCUUUCAGACACCAAAACUUGGAAGCAAAGAUCUGCAUGAGGCAUUGCUUAUACCCACUACCGUGGCUGAGACUGGGACCAGUGGGGCCUGGUGACAAGCAAAGAAAGAGAAGGUAAUGGGAGCCUGGGCCCCAUUGGAUGGCAUCCUGCCUUUGAGGCAGGCCCCAGCUGGGCCCAACCUGGUGUCAUGUACACUCCCACUGUUCCUGGCCACCAUGGGAGUGGGCACACAUGGCUUUCAUGGAAAGCCACCACUCAGUGCCUUGCAUGGGAAGAGGAGGAAUGAAGGUCCAGGAGACUUGAAGAGGACAGGAAAUCUAAUAACUUAAAUAUGGCCUAGGAGGAGCAAGAGGGCUUCCUCAAGGCAAAUCUGCCUUUCUCUGGGCUCACAUCAUUUGAAUAUUUAAUGGUCACUGAUCUCCAGAGUACAGAAGAGGAUUAAGAAUUAUCUAUGGGUAAGUCACAAAGCCUGUAGAUUAGUGGUGAAACAAGCUGCAAAUUAGGGGGAGGGGGAGGGAAGAGGACUCAGAAUUCACUGUCUCCCAUUUCCCCCAUGAAGAUGUAUGAGGUGAAAGACUGAGAGGCCUGGCUGUCCCUCUGUUGCCAGAGCUAGAAGGGCCAG
rnacentral:lncRNA from 1 species